CUCCUAAAGACUAAGCCAUGCAUGCCUCCGAAUAGAAGAGCAAUUCUCUCUGAAUCUGCGAACGGCUCCGCAAACCAGUUGUAAACCACAGCGAGCAAGCCCUGGCCGCGGCGCAAGCCGUGGCUGGGGCGAUAAGGAUAACCCUGGUAAUUCUGAGGCUAAUACAAGAACGUAUACCCCACCUGACCGGUCUCGACUGGGAGGGAGGGGGACGUGUAUCACGCGCAAAGGUGCCGGGAGAGGGUGCACGUUCGGACCGCCAUACCAAACAGUCUUCAGCUUAUCCCGUCCCUUCGGGGGUGGGUGCGGCGGUCGUCUGGGCGGCUCUCGCGUUGUGCUUCUGACCUAUCAACUAGAUGGCAGCAUAAGGGACAUGCUAUGGUUACAACGGGUACAGAGGAUAAGGGUUCGAUCCUGGAGAGUGGGCCUGAGAGAUUGCUCACACUUCUAAGGAAGGCAGCAGGCGCGCAACGUUCCCCUUGGGCAAUGCCCGAGGGCGUUAGGGGACAUAUGAAUGCCUGCCAUUUGGUGGGCAAUUCAAAUGGGUCUGUUCUAAACAGCCUUUCGAGUAACAAUU
rnacentral:rRNA from 1 species